rnacentral:lncRNA from 1 species
ACGGUGUUGUUUGUCGGCGCACGUCCCGGGAAAUAUCGCUUCACUCGUUUCGGACUCCAGUCCUCGGAGUCUUAUUACCUCGUAAGUCCACGGCUGUUUGUAAUUUAGUUGCCUUAUGGCUCUGAGGAAGCAGUCACGGACACAGAGUGCAGGGGCGAAAACGAGGCACUUCGCCGUUUUCCGCGGGAGAACACUCCGGGCCAGCACUCUUAUGAGACGCCAGGAACGGAUGGAACCGGAAUGCAGGCUACGGAUCCAGCGUUCCGCUCCGGAUCGACUCGGAGCAUCGAUUCAUGGUCCGAGCGACGCGCUCGAAGGAGGCUGCCGAAGAACGGUGUGAACGUGUUGUCUCACCGGAUAUCUUUUUCCUUUUCCUUUUCGUAGAGCUCGCCGCACUUCUCAAUUAGCCAGUAGACGAGUUUCUGAAGCAAUGCCCAUAGCAACCUCUGUCUCUUAUCACUUGAGUACACCUGUUUCGGGUGUCCCCAAACAGGGAGAAGCAGUUUUGGGGCUGUAACUGCCAGUACGCUGUACAAGGUUACGUGUGUUUGUGAGGGCGUCGGCGACUUCAACUGGUUCCGCGACUUUCAGACUAAACGCGUUGACUCGCUCGGCUCCUUUUCUGCGGCCAAACAGAUCUGCCAAGACGCUGAACUGCAUUUCCAUCGCCUCAUCCCGUGCUUCUACGUCUCCGCGUGAGCGGAUUUCGAACUGGUCAGGCGCCUCCCUCAUUCGCAGUGACCGUGUGAGAAAAGUACCUGUAUGGAUGUGUUCUCGUCGAACAAACCCGUGAGGAGGUACGGGAAGAGCCAUGAUUCGUAGUCUCCUCUGUAAAAAACGGUAGGGCAUCGGAUGGGCCGGCGAGUCAAGCUCUUUCACACGCCAGCAGGUUAUGCGUGCUGGCGUCCCCUCACCGAGUCAAAGACGACUUACUUGUCUUGGUAACGAUGGAGCCAUUGGACGAUCGUUUCGUAGAAGUACAUUCUUACUGCGGGAGUGCGGUCGGCCACCAACCGAGCAAGGUAGUUAUGCUGCACGCGCCAGAUCGAGAUUCGCGUUAUCCCAGAACAAGAUGGAGACAACAGACGCAUCUUCACUUUCAGGGUCGCCUCAUGUGAACUUUUUCCAGUUCAGGUGGCCUCGCCUCGUCGUGACGUGGGUUUAACUUUUGCCCGCCGUCUCUAAGAGACGCAUAUACGCGUACAUAGAUGAAUGCAGUGACUAUGCCGCCUGCCUACCCCAUUUCCCGUUGCGGCUUUCCCUUCGUGUUAUUGCUGCUCUACACUAAACCAUGCGGGAAGCUUUUCGUAUACUUCUUGUGCACCGAGGCGAGCCCCACAGCCACCUUCAGUCUGACCUACAGUUGAGCAAGGUUCAUAGAAAGCCUUGAUGGGGACAACAUUCGGAUCGUGCCAUCCCAUCAGCAUCUGAACGUCGAACAAGCAGAGUUCAAACGCACUGUCUCAUGCUUUCAAGCCGAAGGCAGGUUGGAAGAAAACGGCCCGCAAUGGAGAAUCACCUUCGUCGGCUGGUGCGGUCUCAUGCGUUUCACCGUUUGCCCCACCGGAGCGGCUUGGCAACUGCAACCCUCUCUCCCCUGCGAUCAGCGGCCAACAAUGACUCCAUGAAGCUGAAAGCGAAGGCCUGCAGUCUUACCUGCACGACAGCCGCGUUGUAUUUGUAUGGGCCACACUUCAUUACCGCACCUAUGGCUUUGAGACCGUGUAACCGAACCUGUUGAAGCAUAGGAUAUUUCCAUUAUCGAGACACACAACGCACAGGUGGCCCUGGGAAUACAGUCUUCAUCCAUCCGCUGCUCUCGUGGCUCGUCCCGCAACUGUUCACGGGCGAGGUAAAAAACUCUGGGUCUCGUGAGGCAGAGUGCGGAGCCGCGACGAAUCCGAGCCGCUUUUUUUCAAAUUUACCUUGGAAUGAGGGUGAACGAGACACGAUAGUAGGGACCUGUUCGCGAGCGCACACAGAUGCAGUUGUUAAGCCUCCACCGAAUGUGCCCUCACAUGCGGGAUCUGUGGUGUCGUCUCUUCGCAGUUGCUUGCCUGGCGUGACUCACCGAGCCAAAGCUUCCGUGAAGUAAAACAAGCCUUGAUGGUGGUGAUCGCAGAAGUUGCAGAGAUGCACACAGGCGGCAAGCUGGAUAGCCGCGCACUGGUCCAUCGCACACGCGCGAAGAAUGCUGACGAUCCCAUCCAUAUUUUCCCAUAUCUGAAGCCAGGAUCCCACAAACACGUUCUUGGCUACUAUCAUGUUAAUUUUCAUGCCUAUGCAUCUACUCGGAAUUAACGUUAUGCCAAGAAGGAUUCUAGAUUACCCUCUUGUACGAGCUCCAGGCUUCACGACCACCUUGGGUCGUGGACCACUGAGAGAGGAUGGUACUCAAAGGUUGUAAUGAAAGGGUGCACUGGGAAUCCAAGUACUGAAAACGGGACAGGAAAAUUGACAAGCGUUCUCUCCACUGGACCAAAUUGCAUUUACCUCAACUCUAGCAGCUGGGCAUGAUGAUGACGACUUACAGCGUCGUCAGAGCACCGUUCCAGGAGGGCAGAAACGAACUUGAGCAUGACAGCUCUGACUUCCUCGCUUGACUCUAUUGGGAUCAGCUGCGGAGAGUAGUAGCACACACAGUCUCUAGUCAAAGGAAAGAUGCAUGCCGCUUUGAGAAGUGGUGGGGGUGGAUGGUGGGUUGGGUCCGGUAUAAUCUAGGAAGUUUCCCCUUGGAUUUGGCGGUUCACCUGAGUCGGCUUCUGCUCCGGCGGGGGUCUCAUCACUUCGGGAAGAUGUGCCACCCUGGAUGCGCAAAUAAAAUAAAAGGGAUCCGAGACGGCAAGCGAAGAGCGUGAUUUGCCGCCGACGAAGAGAGAUAUAAUUUCGGUGACAGAAAGGCUUUUUCUCUUACCCUUCAAUAUCUUGAGACCCAAACCUCGUGACAGCGACUGCACCAAACAACAGACAGAUCACGGGGGUCUCGUCGCGUUGCGACAAAAACAUACAAAUGCACUCACACCAAUCGACUUGGCAAAGGAGCAUAUGUUGGGUUCGUUGCACCGAGGGCCCUUACGUUCGACUCAAUGACGAGGGCGAGGCGUUCGACAAUGAGGACUUCCCGAAGAAACCCCGGUAAGAAGGCAUGAAAACGCUACCUACUCAGGUCGUUCUACGGGACGAACACCUGUUUUUACGGGGCGAUUCUGGCCUCUCAGGGUGUCUCACUUGGAAUGGCAAUACGAAGUAAGUCGUCCACCGCAGAAACACGCCCGGCCAUGCUGCAGAAAAACGGUGCACGCGGCAUGGAAACCGUGCAAGGGAACGGCGUCGUCCGUUAACACCACUGGAGCAAGCGACACUACUAAUAACGGAGCUGCCUCGUUUUUAAGGGAUCUGGAGGGCCUGAGCGGCGUACACCCGGGAGUCUCCAAUUGCUGACGCCCGCGUUUCUCCUUGGGCACCUCCGCUCACCUGCAUGAGAUUUCAGAUGCUAGUUCUCUACACGUUUCGGAGCUGUGGGAGAGCAUGGCCAUUAGGGGACCGGCUGUUGUCGUCAGUAGCAUGUCGUAUGCGUCUAGAAAAAGAAAGGACAGCCAGUCUUUGCCCAGUACCCUCUCCUCGGGAUCUGCGCACUCCCCCUACCAAGCUGGCGCAGGGAAAGACGACGGAACCAUCCAUCUCCGGCCACGCCAGCAACACUCGACAAACUUCUGCUUAGGUGCUCCAGCGAGAGUUUAGAAAUGUAGUGAUAUUUUCGUGGUUCUGUUUUUAAAGCGAGGUCACUGAAACAGGUGCUUCUCCGAGCAUCGAUCUGAGUGACGGCAUGUUUAGAAACAAAGCUGCGUAUGUUAAGGGAGGAAGGUUGCCAGCUUUCAAUUUUCCGUGCCGAGAGUCCCGGAUCCAAAUCUCAUUUCUGUUUCAUGGACUACAGAUCCUCUUGUCGGUGUGUCCGAUCUGUCGUGCGAACUCUGUUGAUGAACCUCCCUGUGUGCUAGGAAGCUUGCACCUUUUCUCAGAGGGGGGGGGGAACGGGGGAUGCAAUCAAACACGGAUAAGGGGGAAGCCUUGCCAGGACAGUGAGCAACGGCGAAGCAUAACGAUAAGACCACGUAGGAUAUCUGAAUGGGAAACGGAACUAUCAUCGAUCGCCACAGGGCUGCUUACAUUGAGGACAUUCUUGGUGAAGAAAGCAGGCCUUGAGUCUCUGCAGCGAGCGAAGUCUCGAAGAAACGCUUCGGUCAUCCGCCAGAAUAUUGGCUUCUCUCCGUAGAAAACUUUGCAGAUGCUGUAGACAGCAAAGUCGGCGCAGCAAGGUGUCUAGGCAACUACCAACAUGUGACCGCGUUCUACACGACUGGAAAAGUUAGGGAGUUCGCUAUUCGACAAUUGGAAAACAAGAAGCUUCUGACGCACUUCUCUGUCGUCAAUUCUCCCAGGCAAAUCCAUGGGGUCUGUUUCUUGGCGUCGGGCAGCCAAUACAUGAGUAUCACCCUGGGUACGAUUUGCCCCAAGGGCAGUAGCCACCCCGAACGAAUAGCAUUUGGACGUACGGGGGGGCCUCCUUUUCCCCGCUGAAAAGUGUGCAAUAUCGAUAUUUUUGAAGGAUGUUUUCUCUUUUCCUUCGUGGGCUGGUUGGUUUCGGCAGGUGACCUGGACAGAGCCGUGAGUCGGCGAAGAGAUGUUCAUUUGCUUCCAUAUCUCUUCAAUAUUUUCCAUUCUGUCGGAACACUCAGCGAAAGCUUCAUCCAAACUUCUCUGUUUUUGAAGAUACUGGGGCGGAACUUAAAUCAGAGUUCGACGUGCUUGUGAGACGACUGUUCCUCGGCACAUGCACCCGGUGACCCGAGGCUCGGCGAUAAAAGGCACUCGGUCUGAGACUGCA